UUACGGGAGGCAGCAGUGGGGAAUAUUGGACAAUGGGCGCAAGCCUGAUCCAGCCAUGCCGCGUGUGUGAAGAAGGCUUUCGGGUUGUAAAGCACUUUCAGUGGGGAAGAAGGCCUUGGGGUUAAUAACCCCGAGGAAGGACAUCACCCACAGAAGAAGCACCGGCUAACUCCGUGCCAGCAGCCGCGGUAAUACGGAGGGUGCGAGCGUUAAUCGGAAUUACUGGGCGUAAAGCGCGCGUAGGUGGCUUGAUAAGCCGGUUGUGAAAGCCCCGGGCUCAACCUGGGAACGGCAUCCGGAACUGUCAGGCUAGAGUGCAGGAGAGGAAGGUAGAAUUCCCGGUGUAGCGGUGAAAUGCGUAGAGAUCGGGAGGAAUACCAGUGGCGAAGGCGGCCUUCUGGACUGACACUGACACUGAGGUGCGAAAGCGUGGGUAGCAAACAGGAUUAGAUACCCUGGUAGG
rnacentral:rRNA from 1 species